AGAGUUUGAUCCUGGCUCAGGAUGAACGCUGGCGGUAUGCUUAACACAUGCAAGUCGAACGGAACUCUUCGGAGUUCAGUGGCGGACGGGUGAGUAACGCGUGAGAAUCUGGCUUCAGGUUCGGGACAACCAUUGGAAACGAUGGCUAAUACCGGAUGUGCCGCAGGGUGAAAGAUUAAUUGCCUGAAGAUGAGCUCGCGUCUGAUUAGCUAGUUGGUGGGGUAAGAGCCUACCAAGGCGACGAUCAGUAACUGGUCUGAGAGGAUGACCAGUCACACUGGGACUGAGACACGGCCCAGACUCCUACGGGAGGCAGCAGUGGGGAAUUUUCCGCAAUGGGCGAAAGCCUGACGGAGCAAUACCGCGUGAGGGAGGAAGGCUCUAGGGUUGUAAACCUCUUUUCUCAGGGAAGAAUAAAAUGACGGUACCUGAGGAAUAAGCAUCGGCUAACUCCGUGCCAGCAGCCGCGGUAAUACGGAGGAUGCAAGCGUUAUCCGGAUUUAUUGGGCGUAAAGCGUCCGCAGGUGGCAGUUCAAGUCUGCUGUCAAAGGUCGGGGCUCAACCCCGAACAGGCAGUGGAAACUUAACAGCUAGAGUACGGUAGGGGCAGAGGGAAUUCCCAGUGUAGCGGUGAAAUGCGUGGAGAUUGGGAAGAACACCGGUGGCGAAAGCGCUCUGCUAGGCCGAAACUGACACUCAUGGACGAAAGCUAGGGGAGCGAAUGGGAUUAGAUACCCCAGUAGUCCUAGCCGUAAACGAUGGAUACUAGGCGUUGUGAGUAUCGACCCUCACAGUGUCGUAGCUAACGCGUUAAGU
rnacentral:rRNA from 1 species